AAAAAAGUAAAUUAAUGUGAGAGUUGCAAGAAUCGGAGGCUGCUUAGAAUUAGGAGUCUGACCUUUACCUUUCUUUGGUGCAUUCGUCUCUAAGCUCUAAGUCAGUUCUUUCUUUACGAAGAGGUUCUUUUCUCAAUGUCAUUAUCUUCCCUUCCUCGCCUCGGUAAAGUAACUAAUACCAGUCUCGAUCUCCUCUAGGGCAAAAUAUAAGUAAAUGAAUCCUCCUUUCGUGUUUGAUUAAAGUUCCAUCCUUCCUCUCCCGGUGGUCGAGCGAGUUUUCACUUCCUCUAUACAGGUGCUCGUCAGAGCAGGAAAAAAGUACCUUAACCUUUCAACAACGGGAUAGAAUCUAACUCUCAAUCCAGGCUUAGACCAGCUCAAAGCUAUACAAAAGAUCCUUCUUAGUAACAUAAGUCAAUCCAUUCAAUGGAAGGGGUUAAGGUAAAAAGCUUCUUCCACUCUCUAAGGAGAAAGACCAGCGAUUCUAGAUUCGAAAUAAAAAACAAUGGGGUAUAACGCACGUAUCGACAUGGUACCUUCCAGGAACGUAACUUUUAAGGCUACUUAGUCUUGGUUCCCCCGCAGCCCCAGAAAAGACAGAUACAGAUAAAGUAGCGGCAUUAGGUGAAAAAUAAAUUUUCUAUGGGCUAUGGUUACGAUUACGAUACCCGGUUGACCUUACUUUACUUACCUUACCUAUUCUAAUUAGAGUUUCAUUCCAUCGAGUUAAGGCAUUAAGGCAACAGCUUAGCUUAGCAUCUAACGAAGGGCUCACCGCUACCAUUUUUCAGCUCAAAGCCUUACAGAUCAUAUUCUCGUUCUAAGUCAGACGGGGGCACAAGGUUGACGUCCUUUGCUUUGGUCUACACCUUCGUUGAAGAGUUCCGGUUAGGCAGCUCAACCGCCUUUCGAAGAAAGUUUGAAAAGAAAAAAGGCUCGUUUAUACUUGGCACGGAAUCGAGCCUAAAGUCUUAAUCUUCUUAACCUUUAAAGAGAUUUGAGAUCUUUUUUUAGCCGAAUCUGAGUUUGUGAAUCUAAUGCCAGGCUUCAUACAUAUAGAUCUGAUAGAUAGAGAGACUCCGUUACCUAGUUAGGAGCCUCUUAUGCUUUUAGAUGCUACCUAGCUGAUGUUUCCAAGUCGAUGAAUCGAAUCCACAUCUUUU
rnacentral:lncRNA from 1 species